rnacentral:rRNA from 1 species
GAUGAACGCUGGCGGCGUGCUUAACACAUGCAAGUCGAACGAAGCAUUUGCGACAGAUUUUUUCGGAAUGAAGUUGCUUAUGACUGAGUGGCGGGCGGGUGAGUAACGCGUGGGUAACCUGCCUUGUACUGGGGGAUAGCAGCUGGAAACGGCUGGUAAUACCGCAUAAGCGCACAAUGUUGCAUGACAUGGUGUGAAAAACUCCGGUGGUAUAAGAUGGACCCGCGUCUGAUUAGCUAGUUGGUGAGAUAACAGCCCACCAAGGCGACGAUCAGUAGCCGACCUGAGAGGGUGACCGGCCACAUUGGGACUGAGACACGGCCCAGACUCCUACGGGAGGCAGCAGUGGGGAAUAUUGCACAAUGGAGGAAACUCUGAUGCAGCGACGCCGCGUGAGUGAAGAAGUAAUUCGUUAUGUAAAGCUCUAUCAGCAGGGAAGAUAGUGACGGUACCUGACUAAGAAGCUCCGGCUAAAUACGUG